AGAGCUAGUUGAACAUGGUCAUUUUUUUCCUACCCGGAUGCCUGUAAACCUUGACUAUUUGCUAGGCAUGGACUUGAGUUGAGGGUGGUAACAUUUCUAAUGUAUCCUGAAUGUUGGUUGGUUUUUUUUUUUUUUUUUUUCAGUUGAAGAACAAGAGAGGCAGGAAAGGAAUAGAGGCCAACAGCCCCCCAAAGAGGGUGGUGAAGAGAGUGCAAACUUGGACUUCAUGUUGGCCCUAAGUCUGCAAAAUGAAGGCCAAGCCUCCAGUGUGGCAGAGCAGGACUUCUGGAGGGCCGUAUGUGAGGCCGACCAGUCUCAUGGCGGUCCCAGGUCUCUGAGUGACAUAAAGGGUGCAGCUGACGAGAUCAUGUUGCCUUGUGAAUUUUGUGAGGAGCUCUACCCAGAGGAACUGCUGAUUGACCAUCAGACAAGCUGUAACCCUUCACGUGCCUUACCUUCACUCAAUACUGGCAGCUCUUCCCCCAGAGGGGUGGAGGAACCUGAUGUCAUCUUCCAGAACUUCUUGCAACAGGCUGCAAGUAACCAGUUAGACUCUUUGAUGGGCCU
rnacentral:sRNA from 1 species